rnacentral:rRNA from 1 species
UACAGAGGGGGCAAGCGUUGUUCGGAAUUACUGGGCGUAAAGGGCGCGUAGGCGGCCUGUUAAGUCGAACGUGAAAUCCCCCGGGCUCAACCCGGGAACUGCGUCCGAAACUGGCAGGCUCGAAUCCGGGAGAGGGAUGCGGAAUUCCAGGUGUAGCGGUGAAAUGCGUAGAUAUCUGGAGGAACAUCGGUGGCGAAGGCGGCAUCCUG